rnacentral:lncRNA from 1 species
UGAAAAGUGCACGUCAAUGAGCUAUACAUGUUUUGCCUUGCACGAAAGAGUUGGGAUCAGCCAAAGGCUGCGUUAUUUCUCUGCUAUUUCCUAAACAGAUUCAUUGACUUCCCUUCCUACCUUUCAGUUUCUUCCUUUUUCCAUCACUGCAGACAACAUAAUAGUUAGCAAGGAACAUCGAUUGUUGGUUCUGUUCUGAGCCUUUCCUCGAUUCACUGCUUUUUUGUUGUUUUUCUCUGGUCUUACUUUUAACAAAUUCUUGUCAGGAUCUAACUCCAAAAACUCUGUCGGGACAGGUACUUCUUUAACCUCUCACUAUUUUUGAUUCCCAUCAAUUGCAAGACCUUUUAGGUGGGUUUUUUUCUUUUUUUUUUAAUUCUUUUGCUUUCAAUUUGGUGUGGAUUAUAGAAUAAUACAGAUGUUUUUUAGAGCUAGCAAAUUUGUAGAGGAAGCGAUUAGAGCACAAUAAAUAUUUUUCAUGAAUGCAUUUAGAUCAAUCACUUUUAAAACUUUUGAAAUUCACACUUUAUAUCUAUAAGACAAACAUGAUAUAUGCCAAUCAAUAGUUUAUUUUUGAACUAACCUACCAAUAUACCUAAACAAUACAAACAGAAAAUCAAUUUGUUUGAUUGUAAGAGAAAACGAAGAUAGAGAUUUAAAUAUAAACAUAUGAUUAUUGCACCAAUUAUUCACUUAGGUAAAUAUCUUUUAAGGGUUUUUUUUUUUGUCCAGUAUUAAUUCAAGAAAGAGAAAUAAGCUUAAUUUUGUGCAAUCAAGAGAAAUAUUUAACAAAAAUGAAAAAGAUUGGUUUCCUCUUACUUCAAAAAUGAUAAAAAGGAUGACCUUCAUUUUACUUGAUAAUUACAUCGUUUUGAAUUUAAUAACCAAUUAGUUAAGGAUUUUUCUUGUUGUGUCUGUCGCUAUUGAAAUCAAGAGAAAUAAAUUUUUAUGAAAUCAAGAGAAAUGAACACAAACUAAAAAGGAAUGGGUUUCAAUUUACUUAGACAAUUAAAUAGUUUUUAUUAAUAACCAAUUAAUUAGUUAUUUCUAUCUUAUUUUUCAUGGUUCUGUAUGAUUAGUUACAUAUUGCAAGAGAAUGACAUAACUCUUGACAAAGGAGUUUCCAAAUAUCAAUGAUAGAACCCAAUUGUCACUGUCAUGAAGAAAAUUUUUGAGUUUUAAUAAAAGUUUUCUUCUUUUGAAUCACAAUUUUUAUGCUUUUCGUGGCAAAGAAGUACUUGACCGUGUAACAUAGAAAUAUGAGAAGUUUGUUUAAAAGAAUGUUUUGUGUAAACUUUUUUAUUGUGAACCAGACAUCAUCGAAUACAGAGAUUUGAAAUGUAGAGGAGUAAAGCACAAGUUAAAAGCGUGUAGUUUAUAAGAGUACCUUGAUUAAUUUAUUUUUAGAAAAUUUUUGAAAUGUCAUUCUUAUUAUAUAUAAAAUAUAGAAGAUAUAUAGAAGAUAAACAUAAUAUAUGCCAAUCAAUGUUUUAUUCUCGAACUAAUCUGUCAACUUGCCAAUUUUGAUGCAGGGGCAUUAUAGCUAAUGCAAUGUGUGACGUUGUUGGGCCAAUCCUUGAAGUUAUAAAGUUCAUCGGCCGUCCAGNN